rnacentral:hammerhead_ribozyme from 1 species
AUCCAUCUGAAGAGUCCUAAAUAGGACGAAACACGUGCCUUGGAU